rnacentral:lncRNA from 1 species
CAAGUUCCAUCAGCAAGAUGGGAGGACUCCAUUGAAAAGAAACAUAAUAUAUGGAAAAAUUACUAGAAAAUCUAGGAAAACUGACUGAAUGCUUUGGAAAGACACAGUCAAGGUUAACAUGCUGAGACUCGGGAGGUGGUGAUUUGCCUAGGGACACAGAAAAGUUAAAAAAAAUGUGUCACAAGAAAGUUUACAGAACCUACUCAAACUCAAAGAGAAAUCAGAGACUAAAUUCUCAAAACUGGAAGCUCCCUACAGCAUCCACACUCUUCAGCCUUGUACUAUGUGAUGUGUAUUACGAAUGGAGCCACCGGCAGUAUUUGUAUGAACAUGAGACAAUGUGUGGCAGAUGCUUGGUGCUUUGUAAUAUUUAGUAAAAUAAAACAAUAAUAAUGUAACUAUAAUAU